rnacentral:rRNA from 1 species
CAAUAGCGUAUAUUUAAGUUGUUGCAGUUAAAAAGCUCGUAGUUGGAUUUCGGUUAAGAGCGACCGGUCCGCCGUUUGGUGUGCACUGGUUGGUUUUAACUUCCUGUAGAGGACGUGCUCUGGGUUUAACGACCUGGACUCGGAGUCUACGUGGUUACUUUGAAAAAAUUAGAGUGUUCAAAGCGGGCUUACGCUUGAAUAUUUCAGCAUGGAAUAACACUAUAGGACUCCUGUCCUAUUUCGUUGGUCUCGGGACGGGAGUAAUGAUUAAGAGGAACAGUUGGGGGCAUUCGUAUUUCAUUGUCAGAGGUGAAAUUCUUGGAUUUAUGAAAGACGAACUUCUGCGAAAGCAUUUGCCAAGGAUGUUUUCAUUAAC